rnacentral:lncRNA from 10 species
AUUCGGGAGGUGGAGAUAAGGGAGGAUUGCUUGAGCUCAGGGGGCAGAGGCUGCAGUGAACCAGGAUCGCACCACUGCACUCCAGCCUGGGUGACAGAGCGAGACACUGACUCAAAAAACAAAAAAUAAAUAAGAGAUAACCUCCCAAAGGAUUCUAACUGUACUGUGCAUCCCUGUACCCUCAAUUUCUAAAAUACUGUCUGGUUUAGAGUAGGAUUCAAUAAAUAUUAGUUUGAAUGAAUUAAAUACCUAGCAACUGGCCAGGCGUGAGGAGGCCGAGGAGAGUGGAUCACCAGAGGUCAGGAGUUCGAGACCAGCCUGGCCAACAUGGCGAAACCCCAUCUCUACUAAAAAUACAAAAAAUUAGCAAGGCAUGGUGACAGGCGCCUAUAAUCCCAGCUACUCGGGAGGCUGAGGCAGAAGAAUCGCUUGAACCCAGGAGGCAGAGGUUGAAGGGAGCUGAGAUCGCACCACUGCACUCCAGCCAGGGCGACAGAAUAAGACUCCAUCUCAAAAAAAAAAAAAAAAAAAAAGCUAGCAACUAAUGAACUUUGAGCAAUGCUUUCCCUAGCAAGUGGAGACCAGACUUCUUCCCAUAUACCUAACAAUAACCUGGUCAAUCAACAAAUGUUCAG